rnacentral:rRNA from 1 species
AUUGAACGCUGGCGGCAUGCUUUACACAUGCAAGUCGAACGGUAACAGGCCGCAAGGUGCUGACGAGUGGCGCACGGGUGAGUAAUGCAUCGGAACGUGCCCAGUCGUGGGGGAUAACUACUCGAAAGAGUAGCUAAUACCGCAUACGAUCUAUGGAUGAAAGCGGGGGACCGUAAGGCCUCGCGCGAUUGGAGCGGCCGAUGUCAGAUUAGGUAGUUGGUGGGGUAAAGGCUCACCAAGCCAACGAUCUGUAGCUGGUCUGAGAGGACGGCCAGCCACACUGGGACUGAGACACGGCCCAGACUCCUACGGGAGGCAGCAGUGGGGAAUUUUGGACAAUGGGCGCAAGCCUGAUCCAGCAAUGCCGCGUGCAGGAAGAAGGCCUUCGGGUUGUAAACUGCUUUUGUACGGAACGAAACGGCUCUGGUUAAUACCCGGGGCUAAUGACGGUACCGUAAGAAUAAGCACCGGCUAACUACGUG